UACGAAGGGGGCUAGCGUUGCUCGGAAUCACUGGGCGUAAAGCGCACGUAGGCGGUUUCUUAAGUCAGGGGUGAAAUCCUGGAGCUCAACUCCAGAACUGCCUUUGGUACUGGGGAGCUUGAGUCCGGGAGAGGUGAGUGGAACUGCGAGUGUAGAGGUGAAAUUCGUAGAUAUUCGCAAGAACACCAGUGGCGAAGGCGGCUCACUGGCCCGGUACUGACGCUGAGGUGCGAAAGCGUGGGGAGCGAACAGG
rnacentral:rRNA from 1 species